AUUGAACGCUGGCGGCAGGCCUAACACAUGCAAGUCGAACGAGUGGCGGACGGGUGAGUAAUAUCUGGGAAACUGCCUGAUGGAGGGGGAUAACUACUCUAAACGAUAGCUAAUACCGCAUACCAUAGAAUAGGCCCAGAUGGGAUUAGCUAGUGGGUUGGGUAAAGGCUAACCUAGGCGACGAUCCCUAGCUGGUCUGAGAGGAUGACCAGCCACACUGGAACUGAGACACGGUCCAGACUCCUACGGGAGGCAGCAGUGGGGAAUCUUGCACAAUGGGCGAAAGCCUGAUGCAGCCAUGACGCGUGUAUGAAGAAGGCCUUCGGGUUGUAAAGUACUUGUAGCAGGGAGGCGUUACCCGCAGAAGAAGCACCGGCUAACUCCGUGCCAGCAGCCGCGGUAAUUC
rnacentral:rRNA from 1 species